UAAGGAAUAUUGGUCAAUGGAGGCAACUCUGAACCAGCCAUGCCGCGUGCAGGAAGAAGGCCCUAUGGGUCGUAAACUGCUUUUGAACAAGAGAAAACCCCGGUACGUGUACUGGGUUGAUAGUAUUGUUAGAAUAAGCAUCGGCUAACUUCGUGCCAGCAGCCGCGGUAAGACGAAGGAUGCAAGCGUUAUCCGGAUUCAUUGGGUUUAAAGGGUGCGUAGGCAGACUGAUAAGUCAGUGGUGAAAUCUCUCGGCUUAACCGAGAAACUGCCAUUGAUACUGUUAGUCUAGAGUACAGAUGAUGUGGGCGGAAUAUGACAUGUAGUGGUGAAAUACUUAGAUAUGUCAUAGAACACCGAUUGCGAAGGCAGCUCACAAAACUGUAACUGACGCUGAGGCACGAAAGUGCGGGGAUCAAACAGGAUUAGAUACCCUCGUAGUCCCUGAGCGGGCUGGCAAGGCGCAU
rnacentral:rRNA from 1 species